rnacentral:rRNA from 1 species
UACGAAGGGGGCUAGCGUUGUUCGGAAUCACUGGGCGUAAAGCGCGCGUAGGCGGAUUGUUAAGUCAGGGGUGAAAUGCCGAGGCUCAACCUCGGAACUGCCUUUGAUACUGGCAAUCUUGAGUCCGGGAGAGGUGAGUGGAAUUCCGAGUGUAGAGGUGAAAUUCGUAGAUAUUCGGAAGAACACCAGUGGCGAAGGCGACUCACUGGACAGGUAUUGACGCUGAGGUGCGAAAGCGUGGGGAGCAAACAGG